rnacentral:rRNA from 1 species
GUCCACGCUGUAAACGUUGGGCACUAGGUGUGGCGACCCGAUCAAUGGUUGCCGUGCCGAAGCUAACGCAUUAAGUGCCCCGCCUGGGGAGUACGGCCGCAAGGCUAAAACUCAAAGGAAUUGACGGGUCCCCGCACAAGCGGCGGAGCAUGCGGCUUAAUUCGAUGCGACCCGAAGAACCUUACCUGGGUUUGACAUCAUGGGAAAAGUCGUAGAGAUACGGUGUCCGAAAGGGCCCAUGACAGGUGGUGCAUGGCUGUCGU